GUGUCAGCCGCCGCGGUAAGACGUAGGGUGCAAGCGUUGUCCGGAUUUAUUGGGCGUAAAGAGCUCGUAGGCGGCUUGUUGCGUCGACCGUGAAAACCUACCGCUUAACGGUGGGCUUGCGGUCGAUACGGGCAGGCUAGAGUUCGGUAGGGGAGACUGGAAUUCCUGGUGUAGCGGUGAAAUGCGCAGAUAUCAGGAGGAACACCGGUGGCGAAGGCGGGUCUCUGGGCCGAUACUGACGCUGAGGAGCGAAAGCGUGGGGAGCGAACAGGAUUAGAAACCCCUGUAGUCC
rnacentral:rRNA from 1 species